rnacentral:rRNA from 1 species
AGGGCGGCUACCAUGCAAGUCGAGCGCCCGCAAGGGAGCGGCGGACGGGUGAGUAACGCGUGGGAAUAUGCCCUUCUCUACGGAAUAGCCUCGGGAAACUGAGAGUAAUACCGUAUACGCCCUUUUGGGGAAAGAUUUAUCGGAGAAGGAUUAGCCCGCGUUGGAUUAGGUAGUUGGUGGGGUAAUGGCCUACCAAGCCGACGAUCCAUAGCUGGUUUGAGAGGAUGAUCAGCCACACUGGGACUGAGACACGGCCCAGACUCCUACGGGAGGCAGCAGUGGGGAAUCUUAGACAAUGGGGGCAACCCUGAUCUAGCCAUGCCGCGUGAGUGAUGAAGGCCUUAGGGUUGUAAAGCUCUUUCAGCUGGGAAGAUAAUGACGGUACCAGCAGAAGAAGCCCCGGCUAACUCCGUGCCAGCAGCGGGGGGU